rnacentral:sRNA from 1 species
UGCCUAACCCCUGCAGUUUUCUGUAGGAUAUGGCACAAAAUCCAUCCCUGAUAGUGAACUCCUCGUUCAGUAUCCAGGGAUGGUCAUAUUUCGAAAGGAAUAUGGUAGUCGAAAGAUUAC